GACACAAACAAUAGUACUUCAAAAACAAGUACAUCCAGCAACCACACCUCGCAUGGCACAACAAAAUCAAAAGAAAAAUGCAACCAACCCCCAUAGAAAUUACAUGCCGAACUGCUCUCGCACAUUUGCCAAACCACAGGAUGCACAACUUGCAGUAUCAUUUAACUUUUAAAAAACCAUGCACAAACUGUACGCCUGCACACCCCGAGCUGCACGGGGUGACACACCAAACCGCAUGCUUGUGCAAACCGAGCUGCACAGGAUGAGCUGCUAAACCGCUAUCGAGCAGUACAUUAAUGUGAACCUCAUUUAGCUUCGAUCUAAACUGCGAGCACGAUCAGAGCGGACCUCACUGCAGGACUAAGUGCAAAAUUACAUGGAAAUAUGCACAAGUAAACUACACACCUCAGGAAAAGGAACUGAUUUCCUUUUAAAAAUUAACUAGAAAAAACUGCAAAUUCAACCGGAAGAACUACUCAUAGUAAACUACAGUACGUCGGUGGCAAGCACUUGAGGAAAAGUAAACUGUAGUAUGAUAAGGCCCUGACGAUUUUUCAAUCGCAAAAAACCAAAUCAGUGAACCAAAAGACCAUCCUCGUCGUCGCUCCCAUUGUUUUCCUGUAUGUCGGCGUGGAGCACCUUGGAUCGGCCAUGGGACGAGGAAGAGGGAGGUCUUUGACCUCGCCAGAACUGCGCACCCACGCACACACGUUCCGCACUGCACCGGACGCACCGCGCCAACUGCACGGGGGCUGGGGGUGGGCGGCUGGGCUGCUGCCCUGCCCUUCCUUUGGCUGUAAGGCGUCACCGCUGCCUCCUUGGGAUGGCCAUGUCCUCACCAUCCCUACCGGAGUCCAUGGCCGGUGGGCGGCCGGACUGCAAGCCCUCGCACUGGAGGACUGCGGGCGUGCUACUGGCAGUGUGCUUCAGGCGGAGGAGUGGAGCUGUGAAGGGGGGAGCUGUGGCCAUACCCGGGGCCUUGCCCGUCCUCCUCGCAUCAUCGAUGGCGUGACCGUCGGGAUCCUGCAUGAGGAGGUGUCGGCGAGGCUGUGGAAGGGAUGGACCCGGUCAGAGGCACCGGAUCAGACGAGGGCAUCGGCGCCUGGGCGUGAGGAGCGGCAACCGACGACAUCCUGCUGUGAGGGAGAGACGAGAUCUCAGGGAUGAAUAUAGGUUAGAGAAAGGAGGAAGAACGGGGUGCUCGAUUCUGGCACGGCCUGGCCGGAUCCAACGCCAGGGAGCCGCGGAGGUCAUGGCGAGGUGCGCCGGCAGCGGUUAGUCGAGGGUGGGUCGCAGGCCACGAUGGGGGCAGGCGCGCUGCCGCGUGGUGGAAGGUGGUCGGGGGUGGCCCCGCCGCCGCGUGGUGGGAGGUGGUCGGGGGUGGGCGCGCUGCCUAGUGGUGGGAGGUGGUCGGGGGUGGGCGCGCCGCCGCGUGGUGGGAGGAGGUCAUGGUGGAGUGGCGGGGCUGGGAAGGGGAGCUCGUGGGUAGUGGAGGGAGGAGCACGGGGAUGGGAGAGAGAGGUGGGCGGUGACCAGAGGAUAAGGUGGGGAGGUGGGGGUGUUAGCAGAAUAAGCCUC
rnacentral:rRNA from 1 species